rnacentral:misc_RNA from 1 species
UCCGGUUUAGACCGGCGGUCUCCUUAGAGAUUUCAACUAAGGACAAGGGUUGCGCUCGUUGCGGGACUUAACCCAACACCUCACGGCACGAGCUGACGACAGCCAUGCAGCACCUCGACUCCACCCCCUUGCGGGGUACCAAUGUUUCCAUCGGCGUUGAGAAGCCGUUCGAGCCCAGGUAAGGUUCUUCGCGUUGCGUCGAAUUGAACCACAUGCUCCACCGCUUGUGCGGGCCCCCGUCAAUUCCUUUGAGUUUCAGCCUUGCGACUGUACUCCCCAGGCGGCAUAUUUAACGCGUUAGCUCCGGCACGGAUCAACUGAAUGACCCACACCUAGUGCCCAACGUUUACGGCGUGGACUAC